rnacentral:siRNA from 1 species
CGGGAAGUCCUCGUGUUGCAUCCC